GCGCGAUAGCAAAGUGGUUAUGCACCGGAUUGCAAAUCCGUAGACAGCGGUUCGAUUCCGCUUCGCG
rnacentral:tRNA from 1 species